rnacentral:rRNA from 1 species
AACGAACGCUGGCGGCAGGCUUAACACAUGCAAGUCGAACGCUCGUAGCAAUACGGGAGUGGCGGACGGGUGAGUAACGCGUGGGAGCGUGCCCUGAGGUACGGAAUAACUGCGGGAAACUGCAGCUAAUACCGUAUGAGCCCCGCAAGGGGGAAAGAUUUAUCGCCUUGGGAGCGGCCCGCGUCGGAUUAGCUAGUUGGUGGGGUAACGGCCUACCAAGGCUUCGAUCCGUAGCUGGUCUGAGAGGACGAUCAGCCACACUGGGACUGAGACACGGCCCAGACUCCUACGGGAGGCAGCAGUGGGGAAUCUUGCGCAAUGGGGGCAACCCUGACGCAGCCAUGCCGCGUGAAUGAUGAAGGCCUUAGGGUUGUAAAGUUCUUUUGCCCGUGACGAUGAUGACGGUAACGGGAGAAUAAGCUCCGGCUAACUUCGUGCCAGCAGCCGCGGUAAGGCACGACUGU